ensembl:lncRNA
CCCGCGACCCUGUAUGGGACAGGCGGUUCCGAAAAUGUGUGUGUGUGUGUGUGUGUGUGUGUGUGUGUGUGUGUGUAUCUUAUAAUAGUAAAAAAAAAAAAAUUGGUAGGAGGGUAUCAGGAUUUGUCUAUCCUGUGUUUUAUGCACCUACUUGAACGAUGAACCUCGGUGCAGCAAGUGGUAGGUAACAAAUUAGGUUUACUUGAGAGUCACAUGUCUGCAGCUAUAUCUCUUUCUCUUAAUGUAAUGCAUAAAUUGUACUUCUGCUGAGUUGUGCGUCGCUUUGGACAAAAGCGUCUGCUAAAUGAAUAAAUGUAAAUGUAAAUGAGCAAAUGUUAAUGCUGUUGCCAUCAUUUUAAACAACAGGAAAGGCCAACGGAGCGGCGAGAGCUACCGACAAGAUAAAGAAUAUCUUGAGGUCCCAUGAGGCUCGUGGCUGAUCUGUAGGAUCGUUCAGGCGUGUUUGCUCCCGUGCUGCAGACCCCUCUGGCUCAAAUAAAAUCCCACGUCCCAAGUGAGCGAAGAUGUCAAAACAGCAAAGCCAGUAAUUGCCUUCAGAGAGUCUGGAUGUUUCAGAUCCUAAGGAUGAACAAACCAGAAUAUCUACCGUGAAGUCUGUCGACAGGCUGGCACCCAGAAGUGUCCUGUGGAGCACCUUUUCGCUGCAGCGAUUCUGUGCCAAUUGUUAUAUCCCUCAGACUGAAGCCUCUUCUCCCAGCUCAGGUCAGCUUGUCUCAGCUGGGCUAGCGCCACCGGCAUGUGACCGGACCUGUGGAACCCGAGCCAGUGGGCAGGUGCUGCACCGUGAUUGAGUGCUGAGCGAGGUUUCCUCGGCACACCGAGGGGUUACAAGCUAUUGGCACAAAGCUGGCGUUCAACUGCUGCUCACCUUCAAUGAGUGUGGCUCUUGAGAGAACGGUGGCGGACUCAAGUGCGGCGUGGAGUGUGUGGUUUAUUCAAGGAAUAUCCAAGAGACGGGGUCACAAAACAGGCAAUGGGUCUUCGAGGUGCGAACGUCGUAACAAGGACAAUCCAAAAAGCAAGGUCGGCAAACAGGCAAAACGUCGUAGAUCUGAGGCAGGCGCAAGGAUGAAGGAUCAGGGUCACGGGACAAGGAAAAGGACUCAGGGAUCAGGGAAGAAGGGAGUACUAGUCAGGAGGUCACUAGCAGUAAGGCUGAACAAGGUUCCGCAUCAGCUCCUGGUCUGACUCUGCCUUUUAUGCCUCAGUCUGCGUUGUGCCCCAGCUGUUUUGCGUUGGCUCGUCGGCAUGAGCGUGACACUUUUUUUUUUUGUUUUUUCUUUACUUCAGCAUUAAUUGAAGUGUAUACUCCUAAGGGGGAUUCUUAUUAGGGGUUUACAGGGGGUCUAAAUCGGUUUUUUAGGGGUUAUUUUGUUUCCCGUCAUUUUUUUUACUUAAGUCGCGCCCUUUGGAACCAAUUAACGACGUAGGGCGAGGUAUUACUUCAUGUACAAAAAGAAACUAGCAGGUAGCAUAGUGGUUACAGUAUAGCAUUGAAAACACAAAGACCAAGGUGUGAACUUCCCUUCUGCUGUAGUAACCUUGAGCAAGGGACUUAACCUGAACUGCCACAGUAAAAAUCUCCCAGCUGUAUGAAUGAGUAAAUAACUCUAGAUAAAUGAAUAAAUAACUCCUAGUCACUUGGGGAAAAAAAAGU